rnacentral:rRNA from 1 species
AUUGAACGCUGGCGGCAGGCCUAACACAUGCAAGUCGAGCGGUAGAGAGGUGCUUGCACCUCUUGAGAGCGGCGGACGGGUGAGUAAUGCCUAGGAAUCUGCCUGGUAGUGGGGGAUAACGCUCGGAAACGGACGCUAAUACCGCAUACGUCCUACGGGAGAAAGCAGGGGACCUUCGGGCCUUGCGCUAUCAGAUGAGCCUAGGUCGGAUUAGCUAGUUGGUGAGGUAAUGGCUCACCAAGGCGACGAUCCGUAACUGGUCUGAGAGGAUGAUCAGUCACACUGGAACUGAGACACGGUCCAGACUCCUACGGGAGGCAGCAGUGGGGAAUAUUGGACAAUGGGCGAAAGCCUGAUCCAGCCAUGCCGCGUGUGUGAAGAAGGUCUUCGGAUUGUAAAGCACUUUAAGUUGGGAGGAAGGGCCAUUACCUAAUACGUGAUGGU